UGAGAGAGGGAGCUCGCUUCAGGACUUGGACGCUGUCAUGCCGAAAAACAGCAAGAGAAUAUGAUGGAUCUUCCACAAUGAGUUCAAACAUGGGACCUUGUAAAGAAAGAUCUUACUGGAAACAGAAGGGAGCUUGAGUUGGCACAAGUUUCUUAAGCAAGUACAUACUUGAGUGGUCACUGUAGCUGUCUGAGUCAGUGUUUUACAGUUUUGUAAGGAUGAGAUUUGUGCAAGGGUGAUGAAACAAA